rnacentral:rRNA from 1 species
UUGAAACACGGACCAAGGAGUCUAACAUGUGCGCAAGUCAUUGGGUUUUAAAACCUAAAGGCGAAACGAAAGUAAACAUAAAAAUCUUUUUUUUAUUAAAUUGAUUUUUAUUAAGGGAGGAUAGUUUAGUAUUCAAAAUUUAACAGGCAAGAAUUAAUUUUUUUGUUCUGUUGUUUUGGUACUGGCUCGCACUCCCGGGGCGUCUUACACUCAUUGCGAGUAAAGGCGCACCAAGAGCGUACACGUUGGGACCCGAAAGAUGGUGAACUAUGCAUGGCCAGGAUGAAGCCAGGGGAAACCCUGGUGGAGGUCCGUAGCGAUUCUGACGUGCAAAUCGAUCGUCAGAGUUAUGUAUAGGGGCGAAAGACCAAUCGAACUAUCUAGUAGCUGGUUCCCUCCGAAGUUUCCCUCAGGAUAGCUGGUGCCAUUGAUGACAAGAGUUUCAUCUGGUAAAGCGAAUGAUUAGAGGGCUUGGGGCCGAAACGACCUCAACCUAUUCUCAAACUUUAAAUGGAUGAGAGCCUUGGCUUGCUUGAAUAUAAUAAUAAUUUUGAGUUAUUAUAAAUGAAGCCAGGGACUUUGAAUCAAGGCACCAAGUGGGCCAUUUUUGGUAAGCAGAACUGGCG